UUUUAUCCCUAACUUCUAAAUUAAAUUUAUGAUAAAACAUUCUAACCUCAUAGCCACUGUCUUCUCAAAACUAUGAACCCUAAAAUCUGGAAGAAGAUAAAAUUCAUACUCAUAACCACCAAAUUAUAAAAAUUACGCACUUUAAAAUCUAAAAGAAGAAAAAUGUAAAAUUCAUCGGACAAUGUUCCUAUAGCCUUAAUCUAUUAUUCCUC
rnacentral:lncRNA from 1 species